UACAGAGGUCCCAAGCGUUGUUCGGAUUCACUGGGCGUAAAGGGUGCGUAGGUGGCAGGGUAAGUUUGAUGUGAAAUCUCCGGGCUUAACCCGGAAACUGCAUUGAAUACUAUUCUGCUCGAGGGUUGGAAGGGGGACUGGAAUACUUGGUGUAGCAGUGAAAUGCGUAGAUAUCAAGUGGAACACCAGUGGCGAAGGCGAGUCCCUGGACAACUCCUGACACUGAGGCACGAAAGCUAGGGGAGCAAACAGG
rnacentral:rRNA from 1 species